rnacentral:rRNA from 1 species
UAGGGAAUCUUCCACAAUGGACGCAAGUCUGAUGGAGCAACGCCGCGUGAGUGAAGAAGGUUUUCGGACCGUAAAGCUCUGUUGUUGGUGAAGAAGGAUAGAGGUAGUAACUGGCCCCUUAUUUGACGGUAAUCAACCAGAAAGUCACGGCUAACUACGUGCCAGCAGCCGCGGUAAUACGUAGGUGGCAAGCGUUGUCCGGAUUUAUUGGGCGUAAAGCGAGCGCAGGCGGAAGAAUAAGUCUGAUGUGAAAGCCCUCGGCUUAACCGAGGAAUUGCAUCGGAAACUGUUUUUCUUGAGUGCAGAAGAGGAGAGUAGAACUCCAUGUGUAGCGGUGGAAUGCGUAGAUAUAUGGAAGAAUACCAGUGGCGAAGGCGGCUCUCUGGUCUGCAACUGACGCUGAGGCUCGAAAGCAUGGGUAGCGAACAGGAUUAGAUACCCUGGUAGUCCAUGCCGUAAAACGAUGAGUGCUAAGUGUUGGGAGGCUUCCGCCUCUCAGUGCUGCAGCUAACGCAUUAAGCACUCCGCCUGG